rnacentral:tRNA from 1 species
GCGGGUGUAGCUCAGCGGUAGAGUACAACCUUGCCAAGGAUGAUGUCGAGGGUUCAAAUCCCUUCGCCCGCUCCA